rnacentral:rRNA from 1 species
AUUGAACGCUGGCGGCAGGCCUAACACAUGCAAGUCGAGCGGAUGAAGGGAGCUUGCUCCUGGAUUCAGCGGCGGACGGGUGAGUAAUGCCUAGGAAUCUGCCUGGUAGUGGGGGAUAACGUCCGGAAACGGGCGCUAAUACCGCAUACGUCCUGAGGGAGAAAGUGGGGGAUCUUCGGACCUCACGCUAUCAGAUGAGCCUAGGUCGGAUUAGCUAGUUGGUGGGGUAAAGGCCUGCCAAGGCGACGAUCCGUAACUGGUCUGAGAGGAUGAUCAGUCGCACUGGAACUGAGACACGGUCCAGACUCCUACGGGAGGCAGCAGUGGGGAAUAUUGGACAAUGGGCGAAAGCCUGAUCCAGCCAUGCCGCGUGUGUGAAGAAGGUCUUCGGAUUGUAAAGCACUUUAAGUUGGGAGGAAGGGCAGUAAGUUAAUACCUUGCUGUUUUGACGUUACCAACAGAAUAAGCACCGGCUAACUUCGUG